UAUCUCUGUAGAGUCUGCAUAUCAAUAAGCGGAGGAAAAGAAACUAACAAGGAUUCCCUUAGUAACGGCGAGUGAAGCGGGAAGAGCUCAAAUUUGAAAUCUUCAAGGUUCUACCUUGACGAAUUGUAGUUUAUAGAAGUGUUUUCUGUUAGUAGAGUGGCAAAAGUUCUUUGGAAUAGGACAUCAUAGAGGGUGAGAAUCCCGUAUUUGGUCAUUCUUUCUAGCUUUGUGAUACACUUUCAACGAGUCGGAUUGUUUGGGAAUGCAGUCCAAAAUGGGUGGUAAAUUUCAUCUAAAGCUAAAUAUUGGCGAGAGACCGAUAGCGAACAAGUACCGUGAGGGAAAGAUGAAAAGAACUUUGAAAAGAGAGUUAAACAGUACGUGAAAUUGUCAAAAGGGAAGCGUUUGACACCAGUGUUGUUUUUCCGAAAAUCAAUUACGAAUGUUUUGUUUUUGAGAAGUUAUGACUUCAUCGGCUUGCUUCUUUCUUUACGAAACUUUCUUAAUGCACUUUUCGGUUAACAAGUCAACAUCAAUUUCUUUUGUUGUAAAAGGGUACGAGGAAGGUGGCUUUCUUUUCGGAGAAAGUGUUUAUAGCCUUGUGCCUCUGCAAUCGGAGAGAUUGAGGUCUGCAGCGUAGAUCCUUCGGGGUUAGAUACACCUGUGCUAAGUUAUAGCUUUUCAUAGACAACUUGUUGACUAUGUUUAGUCUUGUAGCUUACUCGCUUAUGCUAUUUUACCUACGCUUAGGAUGUUGAUGUGAUACUGCGAGCA
rnacentral:rRNA from 1 species